rnacentral:rRNA from 1 species
UCGCCUGAGGAUGAGCUCGCGUCUGAUUAGCUAGUUGGUGAGGUAAUGGCUCACCAAGGCUUCGAUCAGUAGCUGGUCUGAGAGGAUGAUCAGCCACACUGGGACUGAGACACGGCCCAGACUCCUACGGGAGGCAGCAGUGGGGAAUUUUCCGCAAUGGGCGAAAGCCUGACGGAGCAACGCCGCGUGAGGGACGAAGGCCUCUGGGCUGUAAACCUCUUUUCUCAAGGAAGAAGAUAUGACGGUACUUGAGGAAUAAGCCACGGAUAGUCCG